GACGAACGCUGGCGGCGUGCUUAACACAUGCCAGUCGAACGGAAAGGCCCUGCUUUUGUGGGGUGCUCGAGUGGCGAACGGGUGAGUAACACGUGAGUAACCUGCCCUUGACUUUGGGAUAACUUCAGGAAACUGGGGCUAAUACCGGAUAGGAGCUCCUGCUGCAUGGUGGGGGUUGGAAAGUUUCGGCGGUUGGGGAUGGACUCGCGGCUUAUCAGCUUGUUGGUGGGGUAGUGGCUUACCAAGGCUUUGACGGGUAGCCGGCCUGAGAGGGUGACCGGCUACAUUGGGACUGAGAUACGGCCCAGACUCCUACGGGAGGUAGCAGUGGGGAAUAUUGCACAAUGGGCGGAAGCCUGAUGCAGCAACGCCGCGUGCGGGAUGACGGCCUUCGGGUUGUAAACCGCUUUCGCCUGUGACGAAGCGUGAGUGACGGUAAUGGGUAAAGAAGCACCGGCUAACUACGUG
rnacentral:rRNA from 1 species